AACGAACGCUGGCGGCAGGCUUAACACAUGCAAGUCGAACGCAUCCUUCGGGGUGAGUGGCAGACGGGUGAGUAACGCGUGGGAACGUGCCCUUCAGUUCGGGAUAACCCAGGGAAACUUGGGCUAAUACCGGAUACGUGCGAGAGCAGAAAGAUUUAUCGCUGAAGGAUCGGCCCGCGUCUGAUUAGUUAGUUGGUGGGGUAAUGGCCCACCAAGGCGACGAUCAGUAGCUGGUCUGAGAGGAUGAGCAGCCACAUUGGGACUGAGACACGGCCCAAACUCCUACGGGAGGCAGCAGUGGGGAAUAUUGGACAAUGGGCGCAAGCCUGAUCCAGCCAUGCCGCGUGAGUGAUGAAGGCCUUAGGGUUGUAAAGCUCUUUCGUCCGGGACGAUAAUGACGGUACCGGAAGAAGAAGCCCCGGCUAACUUCGUGCCAGCAGCCGCAGUAA
rnacentral:rRNA from 1 species